AGUGAACGCUGGCGGCAUGCCUAACACAUGCAAGUCGAACGGCAGCACAGCAGUAGCAAUACUGUGGGUGGCGAGUGGCGGACGGGUGAGGAAUACAUCGGAAUUUGCCCUGUCGUGGGGGAUAACGUAGGGAAACUUACGCUAAUACCGCAUACGACCUAACGGUGAAAGCGGGGGAUCGCAAGACCUCGCGCGGCUGGAGAAGCCGAUGUCAGAUUAGCUAGUUGGCGGGGUAAAGGCCCACCAAGGCGACGAUCUGUAGCUGGUCUGAGAGGAUGAUCAGCCACACUGGGACUGAGACACGGCCCAGACUCCUACGGGAGGCAGCAGUGGGGAAUAUUGGACAAUGGGCGCAAGCCUGAUCCAGCAAUGCCGCGUGUGUGAAGAAGGCCUCGGUUGUAAG
rnacentral:rRNA from 1 species